UUUUUUUUGUAGUUCAUAAGCAAGAUAAUUGGGUUUUCAUGCACCUACAUGAGAUGUGCCUCCCACAAAUCUUGUUAGAAAGUCAGCACAUUACCUGUCUGACA